rnacentral:snRNA from 13 species
AGCUUUGCACAGUGGCAGUAUCGUAGCCAAUGAGGUUUAUUGGAGGUGCGAUUAUUGCUAAUUGAAAGAAAAUAAUGUGCGAUUCACAGGGCAGGAGGAAGGGGCUGCAUCUCCAUCCAAUACAGAACUUCCAUCCCAAAUGUACAGAGAACUGUCACUAAU